rnacentral:rRNA from 2 species
GGGUUGUGAGGUUAAGCGACUAAGCGUACACGGUGGAUGCCCUGGCAGUCAGAGGCGAUGAAGGACGUGCUAAUCUGCGAAAAGCGUCGGUAAGGUGAUAUGAACCGUUAUAACCGGCGAUGUCCGAAUGGGGAAACCCAGUGCAAUUCGUUGCACUAUCGUUAACUGAAUACAUAGGUUAACGAGGCGAACCGGGGGAACUGAAACAUCUAAGUACCCCGAGGAAAAGAAAUCAACCGAGAUUCCCCCAGUAGCGGCGAGCGAACGGGGAGCAGCCCAGAGUCUGAAUCAGCUUGUGUGUUAGUGGAACGGUCUGGAAAGUCCGACGGUACAGGGUGAUAGUCCCGUACACCAAAAUGCACAGGUUGUGAACUCGAAGAGUAGGGCGGGACACGUGGUAUCCUGUCUGAAUAUGGGGGGACCAUCCUCCAAGGCUAAAUACUCCUGACUGACCGAUAGUGAACCAGUACCGUGAGGGAAAGGCGAAAAGAACCCCGGCGAGGGGAGUGAAAAAGAACCUGAAACCGUGUACGUACAAGCAGUGGGAGCACCUUCGGGUGUGACUGCGUACCUUUUGUAUAAUGGGUCAGCGACUUAUAUUCUGUAGCAAGGUUAACCGUAUAGGGGAGCCGCAGGGAAACCGAGUCUUAACUGGGCGUUAAGUUGCAGGGUAUAGACCCGAAACCCGGUGAUCUAGCCAUGGGCAGGUUGAAGGUUGGGUAACACUAACUGGAGGACCGAACCGACUAAUGUUGAAAAAUUAGCGGAUGACUUGUGGCUGGGGGUGAAAGGCCAAUCAAACCGGGAGAUAGCUGGUUCUCCCCGAAAGCUAUUUAGGUAGCGCCUCGUGAAUUCAUCUUCGGGGGUAGAGCACUGUUUCGGCUAGGGGGUCAUCCCGACUUACCAACCCGAUGCAAACUACGAAUACCGAAGAAUGUUAUCACGGGAGACACACGGCGGGUGCUAACGUCCGUCGUGAAGAGGGAAACAACCCAGACCGCCAGCUAAGGUCCCAAAGUCAUGGUUAAGUGGGAAACGAUGUGGGAAGGCACAGACAGCCAGGAUGUUGGCUUAGAAGCAGCCAUCAUUUAAAGAAAGCGUAAUAGCUCACUGGUCGAGUCGGCCUGCGCGGAAGAUGUAACGGGGCUAAACCAUGCACCGAAGCUGCGGCAGCGACACUAUGUGUUGUUGGGUAGGGGAGCGUUCUGUAAGCCUGCGAAGGUGACCUGUGAGGGUUGCUGGAGGUAUCAGAAGUGCGAAUGCUGACAUAAGUAACGAUAAAGCGGGUGAAAAGCCCGCUCGCCGGAAGACCAAGGGUUCCUGUCCAACGUUAAUCGGGGCAGGGUGAGUCGACCCCUAAGGCGAGGCCGAAAGGCGUAGUCGAUGGGAAACAGGUUAAUAUUCCUGUACUUGGUGUUACUGCGAAGGGGGGACGGAGAAGGCUAUGUUAGCCGGGCGACGGUUGUCCCGGUUUAAGCAUGUAGGCUGGUUGUCCAGGCAAAUCCGGAUAAUCAAGGCUGAGGUGUGAUGACGAGGCACUACGGUGCUGAAGUAACAAAUGCCCUGCUUCCAGGAAAAGCCUCUAAGCAUCAGGUAACAUUAAAUCGUACCCCAAACCGACACAGGUGGUCAGGUAGAGAAUACCAAGGCGCUUGAGAGAACUCGGGUGAAGGAACUAGGCAAAAUGGUGCCGUAACUUCGGGAGAAGGCACGCUGGUGUGUAGGUGAAGUCCCUGCGGAUGGAGCUGAGACCAGUCGAAGAUACCAGCUGGCUGCAACUGUUUAUUAAAAACACAGCACUGUGCAAACACGAAAGUGGACGUAUACGGUGUGACGCCUGCCCGGUGCCGGAAGGUUAAUUGAUGGGGUUAUCCGUAAGGAGAAGCUCUUGAUCGAAGCCCCGGUAAACGGCGGCCGUAACUAUAACGGUCCUAAGGUAGCGAAAUUCCUUGUCGGGUAAGUUCCGACCUGCACGAAUGGCGUAAUGAUGGCCAGGCUGUCUCCACCCGAGACUCAGUGAAAUUGAACUCGCUGUGAAGAUGCAGUGUACCCGCGGCAAGACGGAAAGACCCCGUGAACCUUUACUAUAGCUUGACACUGAACAUUGAGCCUUGAUGUGUAGGAUAGGUGGGAGGCUUUGAAGCGUGGACGCCAGUCUGCGUGGAGCCAACCUUGAAAUACCACCCUUUAAUGUUUGAUGUUCUAACGUUGGCCCCUUACCGGGGUUGCGGACAGUGUCUGGUGGGUAGUUUGACUGGGGCGGUCUCCUCCCAAAGCGUAACGGAGGAGCACGAAGGUUAGCUAAUCCUGGUCGGACAUCAGGAGGUUAGUGCAAUGGCAUAAGCUAGCUUGACUGCGAGCGUGACGGCGCGAGCAGGUGCGAAAGCAGGUCAUAGUGAUCCGGUGGUUCUGAAUGGAAGGGCCAUCGCUCAACGGAUAAAAGGUACUCCGGGGAUAACAGGCUGAUACCGCCCAAGAGUUCAUAUCGACGGCGGUGUUUGGCACCUCGAUGUCGGCUCAUCACAUCCUGGGGCUGAAGUAGGUCCCAAGGGUAUGGCUGUUCGCCAUUUAAAGUGGUACGCGAGCUGGGUUUAGAACGUCGUGAGACAGUUCGGUCCCUAUCUGCCGUGGGCGCUGGAGAAUUGAGGGGGGCUGCUCCUAGUACGAGAGGACCGGAGUGGACGCAUCACUGGUGUUCGGGUUGUCAUGCCAAUGGCACUGCCCGGUAGCUAAAUGCGGAAGAGAUAAGUGCUGAAAGCAUCUAAGCACGAAACUUGCCCCGAGAUGAGUUCUCCCUGAGACUUUAAGUCUCCUGAAGGAACGUUGAAGACGACGACGUUGAUAGGCCGGGUGUGUAAGCGCAGCGAUGCGUUGAGCUAACCGGUACUAAUGAACCGUGAGGCUUAACCUUACAACGCCGAAG